UCAUCUAUUGCUGGUUUAGGUGGGUGCCCAUAUGCUAAGGGAGCGUCAGGCAAUGUUGCCACUGAAGACGUUGUCUACAUGCUUAAUGGGCUUAGGGUGAAAACCAAUGUCGAUCUACCAAAACUCCUCUCUGCUGGGGAUUUUAUAAGCAAGCAUUUAGGUCGUCCAUCUGGAUCAAAGACUGCUAUUGCCUUGAGCCGAGUUACUUCUGAUGCCUCUAAGAUAUGAGGCAUUUCAGGUAGACAUAUCCAUAUCCAAAUUAGCAAACAAGGAAAAUUGCAAAUUGAUUCCUGCAUGUGUUUGUAACAUAUAUAUAUACACAAAUAGAUAGAAAUAAAAACCACAAGCCAUAUAUCCUGAAAUUAUAAUUACAG
rnacentral:misc_RNA from 1 species